UUUACACGUGAGCGGCUAUUUUCAUAAAGGGACAUUUCAACCUCUCCGUUUUCAGAAAAGUGUUCAUUUACAGGUACCCGUGUAUAUAUGCCGUCAAUGCCGUCACGGGCAGGCCAGACCUGUAGGUGGCAGUGUAACAAGAAGCUCAAGCCCAAGUUAGCCAAUCAGAAUCC